rnacentral:rRNA from 1 species
AUACAGAGACUGCAAGCGUUAUUCGGAUUCACUGGGCGUAAAGGGUGCGCAGGCGGCCGUGUGUGUUAGGUGUGAAAGCCCGAGGCUCAACCUCGGAAUUGCGCCUAAAACUAUACGGCUAGAGCAUUGGAGAGGGAAGCGGAAUUCAUGGUGUAGCAGUGAAAUGCGUAGAUAUCAUGAGGAACACCAGAGGCGAAGGCGGCUUCCUGGACAAUUGCUGACGCUCAGGCACGAAAGCGUGGGUAGCGAAAGGGAUUAGAAACCCCUGUAGUCC